rnacentral:rRNA from 1 species
UACGGAGGGUGCGAGCGUUGUCCGGAAUCACUGGGCGUAAAGGGCGCGUAGGCGGCUCGAUAAGGCUGUGGUGAAAGUCCGGGGCUCAACCCCGGAUCGGCCGUGGCGACUGUCGGGCUGGAGCACUGUAGAGGCGGGUGGAAUUCCGGGUGUAGCGGUGGAAUGCGUAGAGAUCCGGAAGAACACCGGUGGCGAAGGCGGCCCGCUGGGCAGUAGCUGACGCUGAGGCGCGACAGCGUGGGGAGCAAACAG